rnacentral:rRNA from 1 species
AGAGGGUGCGAGCGUUAAUCGGAUUUACUGGGCGUAAAGCGUGCGUAGGCGGCUUUUUAAGUCGGAUGUGAAAUCCCUGAGCUUAACUUAGGAAUUGCAUUCGAUACUGGGAAGCUAGAGUAUGGGAGAGGAUGGUAGAAUUCCAGGUGUAGCGGUGAAAUGCGUACAGAUCUGGAGGAAUACCGAUGGCGAAGGCAGCCAUCUGGCCUAAUACUGACGCUGAGGUACGAAAGCAUGGGGAGCAAACAGGAUUAGAUACCCUGGUAGUCCAUGCCGUAAACGAUGUCUACUAGCCGUUGGGGCCUUUGAGGCUUUAGUGGCGCASSUAACGCGAUAAGUAGACCGCCUGGGGAGUACGGUCGCAAGACUA